UUAACCCAUUUAACAACUCAACCCAUCAAAUUAAAUGAGUUAUGGGUUGACCCAACUCAUUUUGUUAAAUGAGUUGGGUCAACCCAUAACUCAUUUUGUUAAAUGAGUUGGGUCAACCCAUAACUCAUCUGACCCUAAACUCAUUUGAUUAUGAGU
rnacentral:pre_miRNA from 1 species